UGACAGGUGUUUUACUUCAUAUGUCCA
rnacentral:piRNA from 1 species